CAGUCGCCGCGGGAAUACGAAGGUCCCGAGCGUUGUUCGGAAUCACUGGGCGUAAAGGGAGCGUAGGCGGCGUGGUAAGUCAGAUGUGAAAUCCCGGGGCUCAACCCCGGAACUGCAUCCGAUACUGCCAUGCUAGAGGAUUGGAGAGGUAGCUGGAAUUCUUGGUGUAGCAGUGAAAUGCGUGGAGAUCAAGAGGAACACUCGUGGCGAAAGCGAGCUACUGGACAAUAACUGACACUGAGAGACGAAAGCUAGGGGAGAAAAUGGGAUAGAUACCCGGGUAGUCCCUGUCUCUUAUACA
rnacentral:rRNA from 1 species